rnacentral:lncRNA from 1 species
GUUUCACUUUCUCCUUAGCCAGGAGAAGUGCCCCAAAUUUCUAAUCCCUUAAGCCAGGACCUUGGUAGCCCUGAGGUGUGAUGGGAGACUCUGGACAGAACCACCUGUUGACCUAUCCAGGACCCAAAUAUGCACCACAGCACCAAGAAGUUUCCGGUCCCGGUACAGAUCAGUGAGGAAGAGGCUAUUGACAAGUGUGGAUUUGCCCAGGCCAGACUCUCCUGAGAGGAGAGAGGACAGAGGCACCAAAUCAGAAGGGACCCUUCUCUGGGCUGUCUGAUAGUCUGCAGAGACACAGCUGCUUCCGUGCUCUAGGAGAGAGGGACUCCUUGGAGAUCUGAUCUCACUAGUAGUCGUAAUUCUUUGGAUGGGCUCAGUUUGUACUGCUUCAUCCUUUGGAAUCCCAAAGAAGUACCUGAAAGGAAUCUGUGGAUUUGUCUUUGGAGUUAUAUCACCAAGCCUUUGGCAAGUUUUUAACAAAACUGGGAUUUCCUUGUACAUAGAGAAGGCUCCAGACCCUCCUUUACUCUCCCGAGAUUCUAGAAAUUCUCAGGACUCAUCCAGAGAAGGAAUCAGCCAGAAGAUCCUAUGAAGACAAGAUCAAACCAAACACGCUGUGUUCGCCCCAGUUUUAAUAAGAAAUCUGACUGAAAACAAAUGGUUGAAUGUGCUGCUAACAGAGAGGGCCAAACGAUGAUGUCUAUUGUGGCAGCUGAACAAAGUGAGACUUACAGAACUGGAACUGCUGCCCUGAC